CGCCUUUGUGUUGCCCGUUCACUUUUGGAAACUAGUGGAUGAGGUGUCAAAAAAGGCGUAAACCAAACACUUGUGCAGCCUUUUCCUCCCCUAGUAUUUGACAUCUUGGUGUAGGAGCUGCACAAGUAACAGUU
rnacentral:snoRNA from 1 species